AGGACGAACGCUGGCGGCGUGCUUAACACAUGCAAGUCGAACGGUAAGGCCCCUUCGGGGGUACACGAGUGGCGAACGGGUGAGUAACACGUGAGCAACCUGCCCUUGACUCUGGAAUAACAGUUGGAAACAGCUGCUAAUACCGGAUAUGACUGACGGCGUCAUCGUCGUUGGUGGAAAGCCUUGGCGGUCAAGGAUGGGCUCGCGGCCUAUCAGCUUGUUGGUGAGGUAACGGCUCACCAAGGCUUCGACGGGUAGCCGGCCUGAGAGGGCGACCGGCCACACUGGGACUGAGAUACGGCCCAGACUCCUACGGGAGGCAGCAGUGGGGGAAUAUUGCACAAUGGGCGAAAGCCUGAUGCAGCAACGCCGCGUGCGGGAUGACGGCCUUCGGGUUGUAACCGCUUUCAGUAGGGACGAAGCGAAAGUGACGGUACCUACAGAAGAAGGACCGGCGUAACUACGUGCCAGCAGCCGCGGUAA
rnacentral:rRNA from 1 species